CCCAGUGGUGAUAGCACGUUGAAUUCACCAAUUCCCAAUGGAUCACUGAAGCAAUGUUGCGCGUGGUUGGUAUCUGGAUGGGUGGCCAUCUGGACAAUCGCACGCUGUUGGCU
rnacentral:rRNA from 1 species